UUCUUCAACUCCCACUGGAGCUGCGCCAGAUGUGGCUUCCAGCUGUGCCCCGACUGCCACCGCAGCAGGCGGGAGGAGAGUGACCCCGAGGGUUCGGUGCUGCCACCCGAGUGCACCCCCGGGCGGGACCAUCCCGUGACAUCCCUGGUGCCCACGCAGUUCGUCCCCAGCUGUGUCCUGACCCGGCUCUGGAAGCUCCUGCACGAGGUCAGGGUCAAGUUUGGCAUCGAGUCGCGCUGUCCCUGCGGGGAGGGGACAGCGGAGCAGGGCCUGGCGGAGUCCCCAGGCA